AUACGGAAGGUGCGAGCGUUAUCCGGAAUCACUGGGUUUAAAGGGUGCGUAGGCGGCAUGAUAAGUCAGAGGUGAAAGCCCUCAGCUUAACUGAGGAAUUGCCUUUGAUACUGUUGUGCUUGAAAGGGGAUGAGGUGAGCGGAAUGUGGCAUGUAACGGUGAAAUGUGUAGAUAUGCCAUAGAACACCGAUUGCGAAGGCAGCUCACUGGGCCUACCUUGACGCUGAGGCACGAAAGCGUGGGGAGCGAACAGGAUUAGAUACCCCAGUAGUCC
rnacentral:rRNA from 1 species